UACGGGGGGGGCAAGCGUUGUUCGGAAUUACUGGGCGUAAAGGGCUCGUAGGUGGCCAACUAAGUCAGACGUGAAAUCCCUCGGCUUAACCGGGGAACUGCGUCUGAUACUGGAUGGCUUGAGUUCGGGAGAGGGAUGCGGAAUUCCAGGCGUAGCGGUGAAAUGCGUAGAUAUCUGGAGGAACACCGGUGGCGAAGGCGGCAUCCUGGACCGACACUGACACUGAGGAGCGAAAGCCAGGGGAGCAAACGGG
rnacentral:rRNA from 1 species